GAUCAUGGCUCGAGGACGAACGCUGGCGGCGUGCUUAACACAUGCAAGUCGAGCGAUGAAGCUUCUUCGGAAGUGGAUUAGCGGCGGACGGGUGAGUAACACGUGGGUAACCUGCCUCAUAGAGGGGAAUAGCCUUCCGAAAGGAAGAUUAAUACCGCAUAAGAUUGUAAUAUCGCAUGAUAUAGCAAUUAAAGGAGUAAUCCGCUAUGAGAUGGACCCGCGUCGCAUUAGCUAGUUGGUGAGGUAACGGCUCACCAAGGCGACGAUGCGUAGCCGACCUGAGAGGGUGAUCGGCCACAUUGGGACUGAGACACGGCCCAGACUCCUACGGGAGGCAGCAGUGGGGAAUAUUGCACAAUGGGGGAAACCCUGAUGCAGCAACGCCGCGUGAGUGAUGACGGCCUUCGGGUUGUAAAGCUCUGUCUUCAGGGACGAUAAUGACGGUACCUGAGGAGGAAGCCACGGCUAACUACGUGCCAGCCGCCGC
rnacentral:rRNA from 1 species